CCCCACUCCUGCUAGACUCUUCUAUAAAAAGCCAAUUUGUUAAGCAGUUAGUCACUGCUUUAUAAUUCAUAGACUCUCACGAAAGUUUUAAUGAGAAACCACAAAAGCAGUAAGGGGGAAGUAGGGGCUGAGACAACUAUUUAUAAGGCAGCAAAUAUCCUGCUAGAACAGUCUCAUCUUGUGACGUGUGCGUAACAUUUCUAUCAUGUGCAUGCUAAAUUUAUAUGUCAUGCAUUCCCUUAACAAGACUAUUCAUACAACUAUGAUAAAUAGGGCCAUAAUCUGUGGCGAUUUCCAUCCUUCUGUAUGCCAGCAGAAGUCUCUUAGCAACCGUUGUUAGGGGCAACGACAGCAUCCAGCAUCUUUUCGUGGAAUUCAGCGGCAACCAAGCUUCCACCAGCUUACGAUGGAGGCUCCAGCUAUACCUCAGAGAAAACAGAGCCUCCCUUCCCCCUUCCACAAGCCCACGCUACCAAGAGACACUCACUGCACAGAGAGUGAGGCUCAGCAAUUAUUAGAAAUUAUCAAUUUAGCAGAAUCCAAGUGGCCGUUUUGGACAUGAUGUGUAUCUCUUCUCCUUUCACACUACAAGGCUAUUAGCUUGUUCUCCAAGAUCACAACAGCCUUCCCCUCUCCCCAGCCUGCUUAAAAUUCACGACAAUGUCUUUAAAUGAGGCUAGGGAACCUCUAUAAUGUGCUACAAAGAAAUCCCUUUACUAGUCCCCUGUUGAGAUGUGUCACGGAUGCACUCCCAGAGCCAUGUGCCAUGUGUCUGCCUGUAAGGUUACAGCCAUGAUCUUAAUGCUCCUUUAAUAUUUUAUUCUGACUGUAGCCUAAUGCCAUCUAAUUACUGAGCAUCCCCCACAAGAGGAGUUGCUACAAUUCAUCUGUUUUUCCAGGAUGCCAUUUUUAUUUUCAGUGGGAACACAGACAGUCCUUCUGAAUCAGGACUCUCCAGAUCAUGCCAGAAUGCUGAAGGGUCUUCUGGAUGAAAGGAGAAAAAACCCAAACGGGUGCUGGCUCUAUUUACUCCAUGCUUCUGAUCAAAGAUGCAUUAAAGCAUCUUCCUAUCUGCAAAUGAGAACUUCAUUCAGGCAUGGUGCUUGUGUUGCUAAAGCAAUCAUGCUUUAUGAUGCCAAAUCUGUAUGGAAGGAGGAAAAAAGUAAUAGGUCCUAAAUCAUCAGGGCAAUCCUAGAAGAAAUUUGUCCCACAAGAGGAUAAAAAAAAAGUGAAAAUAAAUAGUGAAGGAAUUUUUUAGGAACA
ensembl:lncRNA